rnacentral:rRNA from 1 species
CAGUAGCCGCGGUAGUACGGAGGGGGCUAGCGUUGUUCGGAAUUACUGGGCGUAAAGCGCACGUAGGCGGCUUGGUAAGUUAGAGGUGAAAGCCUGGAGCUCAACUACAGAAUUGCCUUUAAGACUGCCGAGCUAGCAGGUGAGAGAGGUAAGUGGAAUUCCGAGUGUAGAGGUGAAAUUCGUAGAUAUUCGGAAGAACACCAGUGGCGAAGGCGGCUUACUGGCUCAUACUGGACGCUGAGGUGCGAAAGCGUGGGGAGCAAACAGGAUUAGAUACCCCUGUAGUCCCUGUCUCUUAUAC